rnacentral:rRNA from 1 species
GGACCCGCACAAGUAGUGGAGCAUGUGGUUUAAUUCGAAGAUACGCGCAGAACCUUACCAACACUUGACAUGUUCGUCGCGACUCUAAGAGAUUAGAGUUUUCGGUUCGGCCGGACGAAACACAGGUGCUGCAUGGCUGUCGUCAGCUCGUGUCGUGAGAUGUUGGGUUAAGUCCCGCAACGAGCGCAACCCUCACUUUUAGUUGCCAUCAUUAAGUUGGGCACUCUGAAAGAACUGCCAGUGAUAAGCUGGAGGAAGGUGGGGAUGACGUCAAGUCCUCAUGGCCCUUACGUGUUGGGCUACACACGUGCUACAAUGGUAUCUACAACAGGAAGCAAGACGGCGACGUUUAGCAAAUCCCUAAAAUGUACCUCAGUUCGGAUUGUACUCUGUAACUCGAGUGCAUGAAGCUGGAAUUGCUAGUAAUCGC